GUUUUUGUAGUUGAAUUACAACGGUGGUUUUUCAUAUCAUUGGUCUCGGUUAAAGUCCGGGUGGAAAUC
rnacentral:tRNA from 1 species